rnacentral:rRNA from 1 species
AUGGAGAAUGCAUUGCUGAAGCUUUGGUCAAUGGCUGAAGAGAGCAAGUCUGCUAGGGUGAAUGAUAAUCUUCAAAGUGCUUUAACUAUUCAUCAUUUGACAGAAGAAAAGAACAAGCUGGAUGCAGACUAUGACAAGUUAGUGAAAGAUGUGCAUCAACUUGUGGACUUUCAGCAGGAUAGGGUUGUGGAUUUCAGUUAUCUGCAGUCUGCUGUCACAUAUCAGCACCAAUGCAGAGCUGAAUUGGUGGCUGGUAUGAAGGCAGAAAUGGCAAAGAAAGAUGCAGCUACAGAGAAGCUUCAAGAGAAGUAUGAACUCCUGUGCAACCUGACAAGUGCUCAAGCAACUGUCAUCCAAAACCUGAAGUUGAAGAAUAUGAAAGAGAAGGAAUUUCUAAGUGAGGCUAGGAUGAAUUUGGAGUUGAAGAAUGCAGAGUUCACAAAGUUUGAGGAGAAGCUCACCCAAGAGAAGCUAGAGUUGAAGUUCCAGGUUGUUGAUCUGCUGAAGCUCAAGGAAAACCAUAAUGAAGAGAAGCAGAUGCAAGAGUUUAAGAUUACUGAGCUCAUGAAGGCAGAGGAGAAGCUGAAGGAGAAGAUCAAGGGGAUCUAG